rnacentral:rRNA from 1 species
CCACCUGACCCCAUGCCGAACUCAGAAGUGAAACGCCGUAGCGCCGAUGGUAGUGUGGGGGCUCCCCAUGCGAGAGUAGGGAACUGCCAGGC